rnacentral:rRNA from 1 species
CUCUUCUCCAGCUGCACUUGCAUCGAGUUGGGAGAUGGUAGUGUUGCAACCUUGUGGAAAGAUCGGUGGCUCAAUGACGAGGCCCCACAGCACCUAGCACCGGAUAUCUUCAAGCUGGCUAGGUGUAAACGGCUCACGGUCAAAGAGGCUAUAAGCACUGGGCGAUGGAUACAAGGUAUACAGCGAAUGGACAACCACGAGCAGCUAUGUCAAUUUGUUGGCCUGUGGGAAAAAUUGCAGCCGGUGAACUUGUCAACUCAAAGGGACAAAAUCAAGUGGAAUAUCUUUACCAAUGGAAUAUACUCGGCGAGUUCUGCUUAUGAGGUCCAAUUCUCUGCCAGGAUUGAGCAGUCUGGGAUUGCCCGGGUGUGGAGAAGCAAGCUAGAAGGGAAGGUGAAAUUCUACAUGUGGCUUCUGCUGCAGAACAGAAACUGGACUGCCGAUCGGCUAUAG